UAGCCUUGACAUUGAUAGAACACCCUAGAGAUAGAGUGGUGCCCUUCGGGGAGCUUGAAAACAGGUGCUGCACGGCUGUCGUCAGCUCGUGUCGUGAGAUGUUGGGUUAAGUCCCGCAACGAGCGCAACCCUCGUCCUUAGUUGCCAGCAGUUCGGCUGGGCACUCUAAGGAGACUGCCUUCGUAAGGAGGAGGAAGGUGAGGACGACGUCAAGUCAUCAUGGCCCUUACGGCCAGGGCUACACACGUGCUACAAUGGGGCGUACAGAGAGUUGCGAUACCGCGAGGUGGAGCUAAUCUCUUAAAGCGUCUCUCAGUUCGGAUUGUUCUCUGCAACUCGAGAGCAUGAAGC
rnacentral:rRNA from 1 species